AUUAAACGCUGGCGGCAUGCCUUACACAUGCAAGUCGAACGGCAGCACGGGGCAACCUGGUGGCGAGUGGCGAACGGGUGAGUAAAGCAUCGGAACGUGCCCUGGAGUGGGGGGAUAACGUAGCGAAAGUUACGCUAAUACCGCAUAUUCUGUGAGCAGGAAAGCAGGGGAUCGCAAGACCUUGCGCUCUGGGAGCGGCCGAUGUCGGAUUAGCUAGUUGGUGGGGUAAAGGCCUACCAAGGCGACGAUCCGUAGCGGGUCUGAGAGGAUGAUCCGCCACACUGGGACUGAGACACGGCCCAGACUCCUACGGGAGGCAGCAGUGGGGAAUUUUGGACAAUGGGCGGAAGCCUGAUCCAGCCAUGCCGCGUGAGUGAAGAAGGCCUCGG
rnacentral:rRNA from 1 species